rnacentral:rRNA from 1 species
AGUUGAUCAUGGCUCAGGAUGAACGCUGGCGGCGUGCCUAAUACAUGCAAGUCGAACGCAUACUUCGGGUAUGAGUGGCGAACGGGUGAGUAACACGUAGGUAACCUGCCCAUAAGACGAGGAUAACUACUGGAAACGGUAGCUAAUACUGGAUAGUAUAUAGAAUCGCAUGAUUUUAUAUUUAAAGAUGCCUCAAAGCAUCACUUAUGGAUGGACCUGCGGCGCAUUAGCUAGUUGGUGAGAUAACGGCCCACCAAGGCGACGAUGCGUAGCCGGACUGAGAGGUUGAACGGCCACAUUGGGACUGAGACACGGCCCAGACUCCUACGGGAGGCAGCAGUAGGGAAUUUUCGGCAAUGGACGCAAGUCUGACCGAGCAACGCCGCGUGAAGUGAUGAAGUUCUUCGGAACGUAAAAUUCUUUUAUUUGGAAAAAACGUAUAGUGUAGGAAAUGACAUUAUAGUGAUGGUACCAAAUGAAUAAGCCCCGGCUAACUAUGUGCCAGCCGCUGC